ACUCAAAUGAAUAGACGGGGGCCCGCACAAGCGGUGGAGCAUGUGGUUUAAUUCGACGCAACGCGAAGAACCUUACCUGGGCUCGAACGGCUAUGGACAAGCUCCAGAAAUGGAGCCUUCCCGCAAGGGACUGUAGUCGAGGUGCUGCAUGGCUGUCGUCAGCUCGUGUCGUGAGAUGUUGGGUUAAGUCCCGCAACGAGCGCAACCCUUGUCCUGUGUUGCCACUCCGCAAGGAAGCACUCUCAGGAGACCGCCAGCGAUAAGUUGGAGGAAGGUGGGGAUGACGUCAAGUCAUCAUGGCCUUUAUGUCCAGGGCUACACACGUGCUACAAUGGCCGGUACAAAGCGCUGCAAACUCGCAAGAGGGAGCCAAUCGCAGAAAACCGGUCUCAGUUCGGAUUGCAGGCUGCAACUCGCCUGCAUGAAGCUGGAAUCGCUAGUAAUGGCAUAUCAGAAUGAUGCCGUGAAUACGUUCCCGGGCCUUGUACACACCGCCCGU
rnacentral:rRNA from 1 species